GUCCCUGUAGCACACAGGAUAGCGUGUUGGACUUCUAAUUCAAAAAUCGGGGGUUCGAUUCCCCCUGGGAUG